ACUUUACUAGGGUAAAGGCAAAAGUAGGUACUGGCGUUAAGGGUGUGACGAAGGGACCUGGAAGGAGCCGGAGGUCCCGGAUGAAGAACACGACUGCUGACGCUUAGACCCGGGCUGGAAGACGAGGGGGGGGGAGGCGGGCGGGGGGUUGGGCAAGCAUGAGGUGGAGCUAGGGGCUGGACUGGAGUUUACAGCUGGGCCGAGGGUUCCACCAAGCUGAGGUUCAACAUUGAACUCUGCGAGGUUGAGUCCUGUGGAAGAACUGGGCUGACAGCAAUGUGGGUCAGGACGACAGUAACGAUUAGAAGAUGGAGUGAGGAAAAGUCUGGCUGCAACCAUGAGAGAUACCCGAGAACUGAUAUAACCAGGUUGCCCAGCUGGAAGAGAGGAUAUCCGGCUAGUGUGGAAUCCAGCAGUGAUAUGUCUUCCUUUUCUGAAGGUGCCAAAGCUACAGGCCCAUCUCCGUGGCAAUAUUUCACCAUCCCACCCACCAUAUGUAUAUGACAGAUGACCUAAAUGAUUUAGAAGCGAACCAGCUCGCCAUCACAAAUAACUUAUGUUCCACUGACAGACCUACUGACCCAAACUCAGUUGAGUCAACAACUGGGGCUCCUGACUUAUCAGCGCCCAUCACCAUCUGGCGUUCUGCAAGCCCCAUAGACAAGUGUCAGGAAGGCAAGGUCAUCAAGAAUAUAAAGAAGAAAAAGAAAGAGAAAGACAAGGAGGAGAUGAUGGUGGAUGAAAAG
rnacentral:lncRNA from 1 species